CCAUAUCUACAUAGCGACAACAAUAAUCCCACACAGUGGGUGUCACAGAAGUAGGGUUGUUGUGUGUAAAUCAACUAACACAGUCCUGGCACUCAGGCAGCCCUUAAUAGACGGUAUGAAAAGGGUGUCUUUUCCUUCUGCCUCACCACUCUCAAUAGUACAAAUAAAAGCCCCCACAAGAUUAAAGAAGAAAGUUAAAGCAAGAAUCCUCAUGACAAGGGGUGGCUACUCUGGCAUCUUAAAGUCUGAGGUUGCUGUUUUCCAGGGGCUGAUGUGGUAAGCUGAUCUCAGAUAUAAGCUUGGUGUGAUUAUAAAAUCUUCCUAGAAGGUUUUCAGAAUGGCAAGGAAAAAACAAGCACUUAAGAACUAAGAGCCUCAGGAAAAUAAGAAGAUCCCACAAGAGGAUAAAAGCUAUGACCCUAGCCAACAUGUAGAGCUGGUUUUGUGGACUCUGCCUGUGUGCCUGUGAGAAGGGAGAGCAACAGAGGGAGGGGGAGUUGGAGCUGGUUGAAGAAGGAAGGUGCAAUUUCUGAAGUUUGUUCAGAGUCCCAGAGGCAGGAUGGCUAAGGGCCUUCUGGGGUCCUCCUACUGCUGUUGCUGUACUCAGCCUUGCCUGGGACAUGUGUACAUCCCCAAAGAACUGCUGUGCCAUCGUGAACCAACAGAGAAGAGAGGGGAAGAGAACACCUCCCAGGAAGGGCAGACCUGCCUGACUCGGAUCUCAGUUUCUCCGUGAAAAUAUGCAGUGCCUAAAAUUUACACUGAUCAAUUUGUUCACGAGAAAGGACAUUUCUAAAAGAGCCAGGAGAUUGCCCCCAGAACCAAGAGGAGUACUGGAGAGCAGAAGAUGAAGAAAAACCUUUAAACAGCAGAGCAGUGAAGUGGAGGGAGAGGCGGCCCCUCUCCUUUGCCAGAGACUCCCACUCCCAGAUGCAGGCCAGAGCGAUCCCUCAUAAUUUAAGCUGACACCCCUCAGCGGAGAUGAAAGGAACACCACUCGCUGCUCUCCAACAACAAAUGUCAGCAUCCCUGGAGGCCAUUUAGACACAAACGCAGCAUAAAUCUGACUCCUAGUGGGGAAGUCCAGAGAUUAAGUCUCCACGCACAGCCUACCAGAGUGAAAUGAAUUUGCUUGGCACAAAGUUUGAACAUGUUUCUCAGGGCCUUUCUUUCCCCUUUCUUUAAAAAAAAAAAAUCUGGAAUGGUUCAGGGCUGUUUUUUCCCCCUUGCUGUUCCUCCCACUCGUUUAUGACAUAAGCAAUGGCAGAUGAAAGACCCAGCCAUGGUUUAUGGCUCAGAGACA